rnacentral:rRNA from 1 species
UACGGAGGGUGCAAGCGUUAUCCGGAUUCACUGGGUUUAAAGGGUGCGUAGGUGGGCUGGUAAGUCAGUGGUGAAAUCUCCAGGCUUAACUUGGAAACUGCCAUUGAUACUAUCAGUCUUGAAUACCGUGGAGGUCAGCGGAAUAUGUCAUGUAGCGGUGAGAUGCUUAGAUAUGACAUAGAACACCAAUUGCGAAGGCAGCUGGCUACACGAAUAUUGACACUGAUGCACGAAAGCGUGGGGAUCAAACAGG